rnacentral:rRNA from 1 species
CGAGCGAAGCGGGAAGAGCUCAAAUUUGUAAUCUGGCGUCUCUGGCGUCCGAGUUGUAAUCUAUAGAAACGUUUUCCGUGCCGGACCGCGUCCAAGUCCCUUGGAACAGGGUAUCAAAGAGGGUGACAAUCCCGUGCUUGAUGCGACCACCGGUGCCAUGUGAUACGUUUUCUACGAGUCGAGUUGUUUGGGAAUGCAGCUCUAAAUGGGUGGUAAAUUCCAUCUAAGGCUAAAUAUAGGCGAGAGACCGAUAGCGAACAAGUACCGUGAGGGAAAGAUGAAAAGCACUUUGGAAAGAGAGUUAAACAGUACGUGAAAUUGUUGAAAGGGAAACGAUUGAAGUCAGUCGUGUCUUGAGGUUUCAGCCUGCUCUGCAGGUGCAUUACCUCUUGACGGGUCAACAUCAGUUCUGGUCGGUGGAUAAGAGCGGAUUGAAGGUGGCACCCUCGGGUGUGUUAUAGCUUUCCGUUGCAUACGCUGGCUGGGACUGAGGACUGCAGCUCGCCCUUGUGGCCGCCCCUCGGGGACGUUCGAGCUUAGG